AGUGAACGCUGGCGGUAGGCCUAACACAUGCAAGUCGAACGGCAGCACAGUAAGAGCUUGCUCUUACGGGUGGCGGGUGGCGGACGGGUGAGGAAUAUAUCGUAACCUACUUUUUCGUGGGGGAUAACGUAGGGAAACUUACUCUAAUACCGCAUACGACCUACGGGGGAAAGGAGGGGAUCUUCGGACCUUGCGCGAUUGAAUGAGCCGAUGUCGGAUUAGUUAGUUGGCGGGGUAAAGGCCCACCAAGGCGACGAUCGGUAGCUGGUCUGAGAGGAUGAUCAGCCACAUGGGAACUGAGACACGGUCAAGACUCCUACGAGAGGCAGCAGAGGGGAAUGUUAGACAAUGGGCGCAAGUCUGAUCCAGCCAUACCGCGUGGGUGAAGAAGGCCUUCGGGUUGUAAAGCCCGUUUGUUGGGAAAGAAAAGCAGCAGGUUAAUACCCCGCUGUUCUGACGGUACCCAAAGAAUAAGCACCGGCUAACUUCGUG
rnacentral:rRNA from 1 species